rnacentral:rRNA from 1 species
CCUACGGGUGGCAGCAGUGGGGAAUAUUGGACAAUGGGCGAAAGCCUGAUCCAGCCAUGCCGCGUGUGUGAAGAAGGCCUUCGGGUUGUAAAGCACUUUCAGUGGGGAAGAAAGCCUUGGGGCUAAUACCCUCGAGGUAGGACAUCACCCACAGAAGAAGCACCGGCUAACUCCGUGCCAGCAGCCGCGGUAAUACGGAGGGUGCGAGCGUUAAUCGGAAUUACUGGGCGUAAAGCGCGCGUAGGCGGUCUGAUAAGCCGGUUGUGAAAGCCCCGGGCUCAACCUGGGAACGGCAUCCGGAACUGUCAGGCUAGAGUGCAGGAGAGGAAGGUAGAAUUCCCGGUGUAGCGGUGAAAUGCGUAGAGAUCGGGAGGAAUACCAGUGGCGAAGGCGGCCUUCUGGACUGACACUGACGCUGAGGUGCGAAAGCGUGGGUAGCAAACAGGAUUAGAUACCCGUGUAGUC